rnacentral:lncRNA from 1 species
UCUUGAAACACUCUUUGUCUCCCAAACUCUCCCUGACCCUCCCCGAAACCCUAACACAUUCCCAUCUACUUCUGUUGUGUUUCCAGCGGAAUCCAUGGCAUUCCUGGCCAUGGAUGGCCUGUGCUCACUCUCUCUCACCGUUAAACCUAAGCUACUCAAAGUAUGGAGGCCCACCUUCAAUGGAUCUCUUUAUAUCUAUCUCAGAUCUGUUGAUCUAUGGCCUCUCCGGUCAUUUUUAGGUGUGUUCGAGCAAUAUGAGUCUCUUCGACUCAGGAUCCGACUUUUCUCAAGAGCUUUCUUAUUCUAGGGUUUCUCAGCAGCUCUAAUCCAUUUGAGGUUCAAUACUUACUUAUUUUCUUAUAUCUGUGCCAUGCAUGGUCUUUUCUUGACAUUUUAGAGGUUUUCCCCAAAUUUCCUCUUUAAAAUUUGUCAAUUUAAAUUUUUAGGGUUUCUGAAAAAAGGAUUUCUUCAAACAUUUUGAUUCAUCCUGUUCCUUCUAUAUGUGUGUUUUAUAUUCGUAUUUGUGUUUCUUACUAUGCUUUAGUUUUCUCUCUUGUUUAUUUUCUGAUUAUGCAAGACUUUUCUGUUAUUUGCUGCCACUCUCAUGCUCUACGUCAAUUCGUGUUGUCAACCCUCAUUCUUUACUAUAUGUGUUUAAGUUUGAGCUCUUUGAUAUUGUUUAACCUUACUGAGUUCUGUUUAUGUUCCUGCUAAGCAUGUUUUUACCUACUUUGUUUAAAACUCGUAUCCUCUCUUUCCUCUGAACUUGCUUGUGUAUGUUUGCCUCUCACAAGCCUUUGAAAGGGGCUUCUGAGCCUCUCUCAAUCAUAUUUGCUUGUGACUCUGAAACUUUCAAUGUUAGACUCUUUCUUUUGUUUGAUCUGUACGUUUUAUAUAUGAGGAAAAACUCCUCUUUUAAAAGGUUUUACCAACCAAGUGAUUGAUUCUGAAAUCCCUUUAAUAAAACUAGUGAUUUGUCACUGAUUUCUUUCGAUUGAACCUCCUUUACCCUACUGGCUGUUUACUUGGUCUUUUAAUGUUAAAAUCCCAUGCUUGUGGUGUUUUCCUUAAGUACAUGAUCUUGUUAUUCCUUUUGUAAUUCUGUACCAAUUUUGAAUUAUUUCUAUAUCUAUGUGAUUCUUUCCUUUAUUACCUUAAUUCCAUGUGAUUACAAUUGGAUCCGGGAUCUUCUUGAUUGAUUUUCGAACUGAUGCCCUAUUUUUACUUUAUAAUACAUUGUUAUUUCAACUUUCCUUAAUUAUCCGCUAUGUAUUUUUCUUUUUUAUGCACUAUAAGGUUUCCUUGCCCUAAUCAAUCUUAUUGAACUGAUUUCUUCUCCUUAUUCUACCUUGACUAACCGUUUGAACUAGACUCCUUAAUUAAAGGAUUCUAGUUGACUUAAUUGACACUAAUUGAUUGCUAUUUCCACAUUUGUGCACUCUUUGUCUAUGUACUGCUUGUUUUUAAAACUAUAUAAAGACCCAGUCUUCCCUCUUUACAUACACGGAAAUUCACACGAGCAAAAGCUCUUCUAAUUACAUACUUUCUUGCAAUACUGUUUUGAAUUCAACACUUUGCUUUACUUGAGAUCUUUUGGAACAAAAACUUGGCUCUUUCAAGCCUACUAUUUUCUUACUUAUUUUUCAUUUGAAACUGGUAUGCCUUCUAUUUGAAUUCUCUGCCUCACCCCUAUGUGUUUACUUUACAAUUUCAGCCUUUUAUUUACUUUACUACUCAUGUUUAGUGACUUGUGUUAAUUGAUUCUGUUUCUAUUGUGAAUCCCUACCCAUAUUCCCUUCUAUGUGUUUGAGUUAAGGUCUUGGCUUGGCAGUGUCCUAAUUGCUGCCCAAGCCAUAACUGAUCCACAAUGGAUCCUAACUCUCAAGUUUGGCUAAGAGGUUGGUCAGGGGUGUGCCAGCAUCCCAAUUGCUGGGCAUGACCACCAACCGGCCAUGUCUCUCACUGAUUCUCUCCCCCUGUACACUUACACUUAUUCUUAGACUCUUAAGUUCUGUUCCUCUCUUAUGAGCCUUGAUUUGGGACCUUGAGUUCCCUCUGAACUUAGACAUCUGAGGGCUGGCAUUUUCACACUGCAAUGUGUUCUUAAUUCAACAAUGUUUUGGGGUGUAUGCACUUCCUUGAGCCUUUUGUGACUCUUGGGAACUUUGACAUACCCCAAAUAUGAGAAAGUCUUUUUGAAAUCUGAUCCUGGAAGUUGGUUUAUCUUAUAUUGUUGGACUUUGAGUCUGAAUUAGGCUGUUUGGAUGUAGCUGCAGCUUCUGACGUAAUUUUUACUUUUCUUUCUGAUUCAUUCGGGUCUAUAAUAAUUUGUAAUAACUAUUAGGGAUGGUUUGUGGAAACGUAUGGGGAUGAAUGCAUGCAAAGGGUAGAAAACUUGCCUAUAGGUUAUUUAGAAAUUCUGUACUUUUGCAUCUCCGCAUUUAGAAAACUUGCCUAUAGGUUACUUAUAAUUUAUUUUCUUUUUACAAAACAUGCCUAUAAGUUUUCUGCACUUCUGCAUUUUAGAAAACAUACUUAUAAGUUCUGCAUCUUAGAGAUUAUGCCUAUAGGUUCUGCAUAUAGAAAACUUGCCUAUAAGUUGUUUUAUACUUCUGCAUAUACACGCCAUUAGGCAAACAAUCUUAGGCUUAAUACUAAUCAAUAUCAUUCUAGAUAUCAUGUUUAUAGGACUCUUGCAUUUAUGCAACUGUUUAAAACCAAUGACACUUAAGGUGUGUUUGGUAUAACGGAAAAUAUUUUCCGUGUAAAAUAUUUUCUUGGAAAACAAGUAGUAAUCCUAUUCAUUUUCCGGUUGGUAAGCAAAUUAAGAAAAAUGACUUCUCAAGAGUAUUCAUAAAUAAUUUAGAUAUAAUAAAUAUGAAGCCCUAAACUUUCAAAGUAACAAUCUUCUGGACCCACAAAUUUCAUAAACUUUCGAACCGCUACACAUUCAAAACCGCAAAAUUUCGAACCUGUAAACUUUCAAACACAUAAACCUCUGAACUCAUAAUUUUUGCAACUUGAAUGAAGUAGACUUGUUCAAGCAUCUCUGGUAAGAAAAUGGGUUUGCUGCUAUAUAAAACGAAAAAUAGCUAUACUUGCUAAGACACCUAGCUAGUAUUAACAACAAGCAAGAUUCACUCGCUCAUCAGCAUACGGGCCCCUCUGCUUCCUUGCUAGAUUAGAAGCCAAACAAGCUGUUUUCACUUCACUUAGGCAACAAGAGCUAAUAGUUAGAAGCAACUGCAACAUUGAAUAGCGCUUUCAGCUACAGAAUGCGAGGUUAGCUACACUUGCUUAGUUCAAACAACAAUAGCUACAAUAACUGCUAAAACAGCAGAGCUCUUAGCAACAUUUCCCCCGAACUACUCACUCAAGCAGGAACAAGAACUCCUAGCUUCAAUAGCUACUUUAGCUCCUUAGCCCCUUUUGCGGGGGGAGGGGGUGGAGGGGUAGCAUGGUGGGUAGUAUCGGAAAAAUUGAAAUUUAAAAAAAUAUAUCUUUUUUUGGAGAAGGGUUGGGGUGGGUUAGUGAGGGUGGGGAAGGUUGAGAAGGAGGUUUGGAAAAUAUUUUCCCUUCUCUUGAUGAGGAAAAUAUUUUUCUCCAAUUGGAGGAAAAUGAAUUGACGAGGAAAAUGUUUUCCAAAACCUUUAAGCCACCAAACAUGGGAAAAUUGAAAAACAUUUUCCGAAAAAUGUUUUCCUUCGUACCAAACACACUCCUAGAGAUCAUGUCUAUAUGAGAAAAUCAAUUGGAUCGGUUGCAUUUUGAAUCUAAAAACAAUCAUAAGUCUGCAGAUCUUUAAAACUAGAUAGCAAACUUUUGCCUUAAAAUCAAUAUGCUCUAGUAGAUGCCUAUAGGCCUCACUUAGGAAAACUAUUAGGUGAUUAAUUAAGUGUGUCACUCUUUGAUAACUACAUCCAGACAAGGCUAAUUCGGACUUCUCAUCUUAGAAAUAUGUGAUGAAUCAGCCUAUCCUACGCUUUAAUUUAAUUCAGACUAAACCAAUAUUUGAAGUCAUGUUAUAUCUGCUCUUUUUAUUGAGGAGGCCUGCAUGAACCUUAACUACUAUUUGCUCCCCUGUUAACUGCUAUUUGUUUUUUGCUUGUCGCCUAGAUUUUUAUCCUUUUGAAACUCUGAAAAAGCCCCAACUCCCUCCCCAUUAGGAUUAGUAGUCUCGAUGCCUCUGGGAUUGAUAGGAUCGGAAAGGGUAAUAGAAUACAAUAAGUAACGAUACUAUUCCGCGCUUUAAUACCUUAACGUGGUGGAAAAGGGUAGAUAUGGAUAUGAUGACCGCUGCGCUAAUACCACGUGUAGCCCCACUUUUGAGGAGUGAUUACCGGGUAUAUGCAUUGAUGUGAUUCAUAUUAACCAUAAACCUAGGACCCCCUCCAUUUUACUUGCUUUUAUCUGAUUUCUUUAGAAUUGUUUGAUUCUUUCAUAAAUUUCUGACCUCUUUACCUUCCCUUAAAGUUUCAAUUUAUUUUCAAUAUUAUAUGCAAACCCCUUCUAUUUGAGCCCUUAGUUGCUUACUUGAUUAUGUGAAGUCACAAUUAUAAUAAGGUCGGGAACCACGCUAGUGGAUCUUGAGGGGUGCCUAACACCUUCCCCUCGAGAUAAUAUCUAGCCCUUACCCAAACUCUGGUUCUUCAAACUCAAACCCUUCUUAGUGUCCUAAUGCACUUAAUCAUUAGGUGGAGACUCUCCAAUACCGAAACUCAAUUCCCAAAAGGGGACGAGUUGUCCUUCCAAAUGUCAUAAACCCGAUUUCUUUAGAAAAAAGGGGCAUCAACAUCAUGGUGACUCUGUUGGGGAUUUCUUAGGCUUUUACCAUUUUAUGUUAUUAGUGACUUUACAGCUUCUUUAUGCCUUUAUUUAAUGUCUUUAUCUCUUUUCUACUACGAAACUGACUUGGCUUUUUGUUUCUUUUUUUUAAUGCUUUCUUUUAUCACUUUCCUUCAAUACUAUUGUAAUUAUGAGAAAUUAUUGUAAUCAUUACUUUAUGAACGUGCAAAUACAUGACAACCUGUUUCAUUCUUGUAAUUGCAUCUUCAACAUCAUAUUCCACUAGUGCCAAAUAAAAUACCAUAGCAACACUUAUAAUGAGUGGUUGCGACCUUUCGAUAUUAUCACCCCCUAUAUUUGGCAAAGGUGUAUUUGCGGUAAAACCAUUCGAUCAGAGGUCCAGUCGACGGUUCCAUGUCUUUCCCUCUUGAGUUGUACGCUCAAGGGUUUCGGACUAAUACUCUAUAGAAACCUUACUCUGUCCAACUGUGCAUGCAUCAUGGUCAUACCUAGCCGAGUCAAUUAUGUUGUCCGCAUAAUGAAUCUUUAAAAUAGCCUUUUCCAAUGUCCGCUGGGUUUCCUUGGAACCCAAACGGAUAUUAUCAUAUUUCGUGCAUUUAUUUGGAGAACUAAAUUCUAUUUAUGCUAAUUAUUGAUUUAAAUAGUCGAGUCUGGAAGUGGUAAGGGUCUAACACUUUGUUUUGCAGAAAAUGAGGCACGAAAUCCCCAGAUUCGGCAUGGUAAUCAACAUUCACCCUAGGUUGCUAAGUUGGUGGGAAGACCUUCACUCCAGUGAUCAGACCCUCGUAUGCAAAUAUUUGGGAAAUUUGCCUUCUCUUUUGGAAAUCUAACCCGACAACAAAAUAAUAGAGGCUUCAACUCUAUUUUGGGAUGGUGAUUGAUCGG